UGGGCCUGGCUCUGCCUCUGCUGGGAUUAAUGGUGGAAUGGCUUCCUGUUUCUUCUCAUCAAGUUCAUACUGUAAGCCUGGGUGAGCUACUUUAUUUGAGGAACAGUAAGUUACCUCAACAACUGACUGGCUGCCAUCUGGAUUGAUUCGGAAGGAUCCCAUCUGAAUGGUCUUCUUGGGGUCCACGCGGGCAAUUUCCCACUCUAAUUCAUCCACCAGAGCCCUGCAAGCUGGUGUCAGGGAAGAGAAUAGGGGGUGGGGACGGUGAGAGGAAUGGGUCAACCCAAGGGGUUUCCUAUCCAUCCUUGUUCCAAGCUUCAGAUCUUAUAACCCAAGGGUCAGCUUC